CUCAUCCGUGCUUCCCACAGGUGGCGUUGGCUUUGCCUUCUCGGAAAAAAAAAGGUGCCCGCAGCCUGCUUACCCCCACUGCAGGAUCAAGAUUCCCUGCAAUUAAUUCCCUGAGUGCUGACCUCUACGUCCCAGUGAGAAUCCAUCCACGUUAAGGAACUUUCCUCUUGAAGUGAACAAAUGUGCAAGGUAAAUAACAGAGAAUAUAAAUCCUAUGGUACUGCACGUUUUAAUGGAAGCAGUCUCAUGGUGGAGAUAAGAAGAUGGAAGGCUACUGAAAAUUUGUAAGUGAAAUUGACAUAAACUAAUUUCCA